CUCAGGCAAGAAGCAUCAUAGUCUGAGACCCCGAAACUAGACGAGCUACUCCGAAGCAGUCUAAAAGGACUAACCCGUCUCUGUGGCAAAAGAGUGGGAAGACUUCCGAGUAGAGGUGAAAAGCCUACCGAGCCUAGUUAUAGCUGGUUGCUUAAGAAAAGAAUAUGAGUUCAGCCUUAUAAGUUUCUCAAAAAUCAAAAUGAAAGAAUAAAGUAACACAUAAGAGUUAGUCGAAGGGGGUACAGCUCCUUCGAAAAAGAACACAACCUUACCCAGGUAAAUAAGGAUUAUACUAAAAAAGGACAUGACUUUCAACAGUGGGCCCGAAAGCAGCCACCUCUAAUAGAAAGCGUUAAAGCUCAAGAACAGCCACACCAAAAAUAAAAAUAACAACUCCUAAUUUCCUAAUAAUAUUAAGCUACCCUAUUUUAUAGGAGAAAUUAUGCUAAAAUGAGUAAUAAGAGAAACUAGACCCUCUCCGGGCACACGUGUAAAUUAGAGCGGACAAACCACUGACAACUAACGGACCCAAAAAAGAGGGUAAAACAACAAAACUCAAUAAACAAGAAAAACCUAUUAAAACAACCGUUAACCCAACACAGGAGUGCCACUUAAGGAAAGACUAAAAGGGGAAGAAGGAACUCGGCAAACACAAACCUCGCCUGUUUACCAAAAACACCGCCUCCUGCAAAUAGAAUGUAUUGGAGGUCCUGCCUGCCCAGUGACAAUAGGUUCAACGGCCGCGGUAUUUUGACCGUGCAAAGGUAGCGUAAUCACCUGUCUUUUAAAUAAAGACCUGUAUGAAUGGCAAGACGAGGGUUUUACUGUCUCCUCCCCCCAGUCAAUGAAAUUGAUCUACCCGUGCAGAAGCGGGUAUAAAAACAUAAGACGAGAAGACCCUAUGGAGCUUUAGGCACACAUCAAAUAUGUAAAAAACCAAAUCUUCCAAAUAGGCCUAAAAAAUGAGAAAAACAAGUAUUAAAGAUUAAUUGCCUUCGGUUGGGGCGACCACGGGGAAAAAUAAAACCCCCACAUGGAAUGGGUAAAAUUAUCCUAAGCCAAGAAAAACAAUUCUAAGCAACAAAAUUUUUGACCAAUAAACGACCCAGGGACAACAUCCCUGAGCAAUGAACCAAGUUACCCUAGGGAUAACAGCGCAAUCCUUUCCCAGAGCCCAUAUCAACGAAAGGGUUUACGACCUCGAUGUUGGAUCAGGGCAUCCUAACGGUGCAGCCGCUGUUAAGGGUUCGU
rnacentral:rRNA from 1 species